rnacentral:rRNA from 1 species
UACGUAGGGUGCAAGCGUUGUCCGGAUUUAUUGGGCGUAAAGAGCUCGUAGGCGGCUUGUUGCGUCAGCUGUGAAAACCCGCAGCUCAACUGUGGGCUUGCAGCUGAUACGGGCAGGCUUGAGUUCGGUAGGGGAGACUGGAAUUCCAGGUGUAGCGGUGAAAUGCGUAGAUAUCUGGAGGAACACCGGUGGCGAAGGCGGCAUCCUGGACCGAGAUUGACGCUGAGGCGCGAAAGCCAGGGGAGCAAACGGG